CACGGGGAUUAACUCGGCCUUAUGCUUGGUAGGCAUUGUCUUAAUUCUUACAGUCCUUUUCUCUAUUUUAAAGUUGAAGAAACCGAGGCACAAAGGGUUUAAGGAACUUGAUCUUGUAGAUAGUUAGAGGUGGAGUUGGGAUAUGAACCAAAGCAGGCUGAUUAUAGUCUGAGCUCUUAUCUACCCCACUUCUCUGUGUACUAAGGAAAACUUGUAGAUUCCUGACUCAGGAACAAGGGAACUCCUAAGGGACACUUGGAGCCAGAGGGGACCCCUUUGAAAGAAUAGAUGCCAGGCUGCGGAAGGGGAAUUGGAGCACGUUUAGCUGCUGAGACAAAAUUUAGCAGGUAGCAAUAAUAUGCAUAGAGAUUGCCAGUUGCAGUGUUUAGAUGUGACCACCAGGAGGCAGCAGAAAGUUGGGCUCCUAUUAGGAGAAGGGUUGGGAAGCCCCCUUCUCAUCCUAGCCUUUGUACUCCAGGGCUGACUCGCUUUGACCUGCUGGGUGACUUUGGACGCUUCAACUGGCUAGGCAAUUUCUACAUCGUGUUCCUCUACAAUGCAGCCUUCGCAGGCCUUACCACACUCAGUCUGGUGAAGACCUUCACCGCAGCUGUGAGGGCAGAGCUGAUCCGGGCCUUCGGACUGGACAGACUGCCACUUCCUGUCUCCAGUUUCCCCCGGGCAUCUAGGAAGACCCAGCACCAGUGACCCAGUUGGGAGUAGGAAGGAUAAAACUGGACACUGCCAUCUGCUGCCUAGACCUGGAAGGGAGCCCAGGGUGUAUGGACCUCAGGACCUAGGUCUGAGAGGGUGGGUGGCAGAGGAGAACUGAGCCAUCUGCACUGUUGCAUAAUCUGAGCCAGAGUUUGGGACCAGACCCCCAUUUUUUCAGACUUAGCUGUGGCCUCAGCAUGGGGUAGAGCUGGGUGACUGGAUCUGGCUCCUGGUCCCAAAUGUGUUUACACAUCAAUCUGCCUCACUGCUAUUCUGGGCCAUGCCCAUAGCCAUGUUUACAUGAUUUGAUGUGCAAUAGGGUGGGGUGGGAAUGGGAGGGAAUGGGCCAGGGGCAGGCUCAGGAGGCAGGUUGUCUCCCUUGCUUCUGGCCCAGCAGAGCCUAAGCACUGUGCUAACCUGGAGGGACUUUGGACCACUGGAGAGACGGAGGGCAUAGGGAGGAAGAGGCUGCACCCAUCAGCAAUAAAGUUGAUACCAGGGUUUGCUUUGGUUUUUU